AUUGAACGCUGGCGGCAGGCCUAACACAUGCAAGUCGAGCGAGCGGCGGACGGGUGAGUAAUGUAUGGGGACUGCCCGAUAGAGGGGGAUAACUACUGGAAAAGGUAUCUACUACCGCAUACUAUCGGAUAACCCAUAUGGGAUUGGCUAGUAGGGGAGGUAAUGGCUCUACUAGGCGACGAUCCCUAGCUGGUCUGAGAGGAUGAUCAGCCAAACUGUGACUGAGACACGGCCCAGCCUCCUACGGAGGCAGCAGUGGGGAAUAUUGCACAAUGGGCGCAAGCCUAAUGCAGCCAUGCCGCGUGUAUGAAGAAGGCCCUAGGGUUGUAAAGUACUUUCAGUCGGGAGGCGUUACCGACAGAAGAAGCACCGGCUAACUCCGUGCCAGCAGCCGCGGUAAUAC
rnacentral:rRNA from 1 species